rnacentral:rRNA from 1 species
GAUGAACGCUGGCGGCGUGCUUAACACAUGCAAGUCGAACGGGAAUUACUUUAUUGAAACUUCGGUCGAUUUAAUUUAAUUCCAGUGGCGGACGGGUGAGUAACGCGUGGGUAACCUGCCUUAUACAGGGGGAUAACAGUCAGAAAUGGCUGCUAAUACCGCAUAAGCGCACGGAACCGCAUGGUUCUGUGUGAAAAACUCCGGUGGUAUAAGAUGGACCCGCGUUGGAUUAGCUUGUUGGCAGGGUAACGGCCACCAAGGCAACGAUGCAUAUCCGAGCUGAGAGGCUGAUC